rnacentral:rRNA from 1 species
AUGGCUCAGGAUGAACGCUAGCGAUAGGCCUAACACAUGCAAGUCGAGGGGCAGCACAUGAAGUAGCAAUACAGAUGGUGGCGACCGGCGCACGGGUGAGUAACACGUAUGCAACCUACCUUCAACAGGAGAAUAACCCGGCGAAAGUCGGACUAAUACUCCAUAAUACAGGGAUCCCGCAUGGGAAUAUUUGUUAAAGAUUUAUCGGUUGAAGAUGGGCAUGCGUUCCAUUAGCUAGUUGGUGAGGUAACGGCUCACCAAGGCAACGAUGGAUAGGGGAACUGAGAGGUUUAUCCCCCACACUGGUACUGAGACACGGACCAGACUCCUACGGGAGGCAGCAGUGAGGAAUAUUGGUCAAUGGAGGCAACUCUGAACCAGCCACGUCCGCGUGAAGGAUGACGGCCCUACGGGUUGUAAACUUCUUUUGUAAGGGAAUAAAGUGAGGGACGUGUCCCUUUUUGUAUGUACCUUAUGAAUAAGGAUCGGCUAACUCCGUGCCAGCAGCUGC